CCAGAGGAUCCCCUCUCUCUAGGUAUCCCCCUCUCCCAAAGCGGCGCUCAGCGGCCGCGCUCCCAUCUGCGCCCCUCCCUGCGCGCUUCGCAGCGACUGGGAGGAGAAAAAAGCGGGGGGGAAGGAAGGAGGGGAAAAAAAAGAGGGGGGGGAAAGGAAGGACUACAAGGCCCGGCAUGCCCCGGCGGUGCUGCACGGCUCCCCGGGGUGCCGGAUGCUGGCCGUGCCGCUGACAGCGGAGCGAAGCGGAGCCGCGGUCCCCGCCGCGCACGGAGAGAGGAGCGAGGGGCUGGGCGCGCCUGGCCGCCGGCUCUGCUCCCCCCCUUUUAUCCCAGCCCCCACAAAGCCGGGAGCGGCAGAAGGUGGCGAGCGGUGCCGAGGGCUCCGGGACCCCCGCGGCCGGCCAGGACGCAGCCCCGGCGGGCGGCAGGAGCCUCCCCAAGCGGGCGGGCUCCGAGGGGCGCGGAGCGCAGGAGCCGGCGGAUGGGAGCUCGGUCGGCUGCCAGCCCCUCGCACUGGAGAACGGUGCCAGCCCGCCAGCCGAGUGGUUCCCGCGUGCCCAGGGCUCCGGCCCCCGCCAGCCCGGCAGCGACGGCGACAGCAGGAGCCUCCGAGUGAACCUGCACUGCAAACACCCCCGGAACAGGUACCCGGGGGCCUCGCCCCAAAAACGGGGUGCAGCACCAAGGAGGGGUUGGCGGCACACCUUGCUGUCGGUGUUCUGUCCAUCCCUGUCUGGGAGAUACAGGGCGAGGGGGGAUCCCCGGCUCUGUGCAGCCUCCCGGCUUGGGAUUUUGGGGUGAACAGAGGGGCUGCAGCCCCUGUGCAGGGGGCACGUGGUGCCCGGCACCCAUCCGUGAGCGCCCGAGCCACCCCAC
rnacentral:lncRNA from 1 species